rnacentral:misc_RNA from 1 species
GAUGAAGAACGUAGCGAAAUGCGAUAAGUAGUGUGAAUUGCAGAAUUCAGUGAAUCAUCGAAUCUUUGAACGCACAUUGCGCCCUUUGGUAUUCCUUAGGGCAUGCCUGUUCGAGCGUCAUCUAAACCUUCAAGCCCUGCUUGGUGUUGGGUGCCUGUCCCGCCUCCGCGCGUGGACUCACCUCAAAUCCAUUGGCGGCCCCCGCGUCGGCCACGAGCGCAGCAGAAACGCGAACUCGUGAGCCCGUCCGGGCGGCUCCCAGAAGCUAACCCCCAAUUUUUGACCUCGGAUCGGGUAGGGAUACCCGCUGAACUUAAGCAUAUCAAUAAGCGGAGGA